UCACAUGAUAUCCUGGGAUGUAAGGGAUGCAGAGUUGUAAAGGAUGCAGGAAUGUGCGGGAUGUAGUGAUGCAAAGGAUGCAAGGAUGUAAGGGAGGUCGAGAUGUAAGAGAUGGCACAUAAGGGUUUGAGGGGGUGUAACAAUGCAGAGAUGUAAGGGAUGCAGGGAUAUAAAAAAUGCUGCGAUGUAAGGAGUGCAAAAAGGGCAGUCCCUGCAAGGUCCUUGAAAGGAAUGAAAAAAUAAAUAACUGCGAGAAUUAUUAUUUUAAUAACAAAUUUAUUCGACGCUUAGGAACAGGAUUCGUGGUGUUGUAUUAUAAUACUACUGGUAUCCAAAUAUUUGCGUUUUGUAUGCAACCAAUAAUAAACUAUAGAAAUACAUGAUAGUAUUAAAAUAGAAAAGUAAUGUUGAUUCACAAAAAUUUAUAUUGUAAGUACAACCAAAUUACAAGUUAUCCUGGAACAUGAACAUCUAUGACGUUGAUCCCUCACUGCAAUUACGAUUUUUAAUCAAUCAAUUACUUUUUCUAAUAGUAAAUAAAACUACAAAAUCUUUACGAGAAUCUUAAUAUUAAGAGAUUAUGCUAAAAAUUUUAUAUUAACGUUAUUUCAACGAUGUUAAAAAAAAAUUAUGCAGUAAGGGAUACAGUUAAGCAAUAUUAAUUAUUGCAUCCGUAAAAAUAUUUGUAUACUAUUACUGUUGAUCUGUAAGAAUAAAUUACUGUAAUAAACAAUUAAACACUAUAUCGUAACUAAUUCUAGAAUCAUACUUUAUCGAAUUAUGCGUAUAUACAUUAUUUUAGCGAUACGUUAUUCUCGUAACGAAGUCCGUACUUUAAUACUGUGUACGAUCGUUAUCGACGACAGUUCAACAAUAUCGUACUUAAUUAUUCAUACACUUUGUUUUCCAAUCGAUUUUCGUCCAAUCAGAUUUAUUCUAUUCUUAUAAUUAAGCUUCUGAACAAAUACUUAGCAGUACGUAACUGUGCGAAGUUCGCGGUUCGAUUGAUCAAUUCUAUUAUGAAACCUAAAAUUAUUUCUAUUCCGUCUGACAGAAUAACAGUUAACGUGAAAGUUAGAUACCAAUUAACUUUUCACGUACAUCUGGAAUGUUUAUAUGCGGUGACGGUAACAUAAGGAUCACGAUUCGACGGAAAAAUUUCAAUUUCGGAACAUUUAUUCAUUACGCUACAUCGUUCUCAUAAUAAAUUGGAUCUAUCGAAAACUUCUUUUUUCCUAUUUUAUAUCAAAUUUUUAGAAUUUCAAAUUUGAUCGCGAUCAAGCUCACUCUUAACUUUGUUCGAACGUAUCGCUUUCGUUUAUGUUUAAUAUUUAGUUUACAGGUAUCUGACUUGUUACAUUUUUACUUCAAUAUGUAUUUCUCCAAAGCUAAUUUAUAAACAUAACAUUAUGUUAAUCAAUGUUUUUUGUUAUGAAUUUUAGUAAGAGACACUCAAAGUCUUUGUCUUUUUUUUCUUUUUUAAAAGAAUAGUAUAGAAAGUAUUUACAACUUGGCAUGUUAUUUAUAAACCUACUAUGCAACAAUGUAAUGGAUCUAUAUAUUCCUGAAACUGUAACUCUUUUUCUUGAAUAAAUUCGUCUAUUUCGGCAUCAGUAAAAAAGAAUGAGAUUCGCAACUUUAUUCUAUUAUUUUGCACCUGCUUAUCGUAUAUCAACUACUUUCGUGUUCCCGUGUGUACUGCUGAUAUAAGUGCUUUAAUACUUUGUCUCUGUAAAACGAAAAAUAUAUUGACCACUGAUUCCAUACUACCAAUCACUGUUAAUGCUUGUAACGAGUAAUCAUUAUGUAUAAGGCAAAACGUUUCACAGCAAAAUAAUCACAAUUUUUGUAAUAAUGAUUGUAAAUUUCCACUGAUUUUUUUUUUUUCUUGUUUUGAGAUUCCGAACAACACGGAAAGCACAACCUAUAAAGAACUCAAUUACAAAGUAAUCUAAUACAAAGUAAGUCUACCAUGUCUCUAAAUAGUUAAAAAAAAGCAAAUUUAUUA